GCCUGCCCAGUGUUCAGACUACCUGUUCAGGGUGUUCCAGGUGUACAGUAGUCUGCACAUUGGUUAG
rnacentral:pre_miRNA from 1 species